AUCUAACUGACAAGUCCCAAAUAGGACGAAGUGAGUAUCCUGGAU
rnacentral:hammerhead_ribozyme from 1 species